AGAUCAAAAGAAAUUUUAUUAUGUUCUUGUGGGUGGUUGAGUGUUGAUUGAGAAUACACAUUGAUUUAUUUCUAUGAUCACGCUUAACCUCCAAUGUACACAAACGAAUCGGUUUUAUUGACUGGAGAAGGAAAUGAUUAUUUCCUAGGGUCAGGAAAGGACAUGGGACAAGUUUAGGAGAGCAAUGUAGCCAUAUCUGCAUUGGUCUCAUACAGAGGACUACGCAAGUUUCCUUGGGAGUGUGAUAUUGUCACUAAGAUCUUAGUGUCAUUUGUUUUUCAAAUGGUCACAUUCGCAGCAGGACCACCUGAUGAGUAUCUCGGAUCUCUUACACAUGUUCCCUGUUCAAGCCCUGUUUGGAGGACUCUCUCAAGUGAGAUAGACGGACCUCAC